AACUUUGAAGAACUAUUCAACCAGCAGGAGAUACAACAUGCAGCAGAAAUCGGAGACCUAGUCCAUACAGGCAUGGAGUCAGAGACACAGGGGAGGAAACAGCUCCCCAACAGAAGAGAAGAGAAGAAAAGCUGACCCUGGGCAGUCCAGCAAAUUAGCCAGCAGAGAUUUUGCACCUAAACAGAAGAUUAAGACUUUACAAAGAGAGAAAGUAAUUUAAGGAUCUGAAGUAUCCAGGAUUAGCUUUCUUUCUGAAGUUCUCAUGUGUUAUUGGCUGAACACUAAGAGAUGCAGAUAGCCUGGCAUCCCCUCAAAGAUAACACCAGUAUCAUUCAGCAAAACUUGGAAACAAGGAUGCAGGUGCCUUUCCUGCAUCCCAGACAGGCACAGCAAGGCCUUUACACUGCAAUGCACCCACUGCAAAGUAUGACUCCCCCUGCAAAGAUUUGUAUUGAAGACAAAAUAAGAAGACAAGAAAAGAGAAGGAAGGACGAUGGGAGGGUAUAGCAAAAAAUAAGAGUUGCAGAAUAAGUGGACCAGUGGAUAGAAAACUGGUACUGAAGUCAGGAAGACCUGAGUUUAAAUCCACCAUGAAACACUUA